rnacentral:ncRNA from 1 species
GCUCCGAAUUCAACAAAAAAGUGGUGCGAGCUGUUUCAAUUUACGAUAUUUUUUUAUAUAUUCCCGUGCCCAAAUAUUCUUUUUGGGGCAAUAUGUUUUUAUUUAUGAUUGUGCAAGGUGGUAUGUUUAGUAUAUAAUUUUUGCCAAGGAUGCCCAAAUAUUCUUCUUUGGGGAGUAUGUUUAGUAUAUAAUUUUUGCCAAGGAUGCCCAAAUAUUCUUCUUUGGGGCAAUAUGUUUUUGUUUAUGAUUUUUUAUGACUGCGCAAGGUCGUAUGUUUAGUAUAUAGUUCUUGCACAGGAUGUUUUCAUUGAUCAAGAACGAAAGUUAGGGGAUCGAAGACGGUCAGAUACCGUCCCAGUCUUAACCGCAAACUAUGCCAACUAGCUACCGUCCCAGUCUUAACCAUAUACUAUGCCAACUAUGAGGGGGUCGGAGACGAUCAGAUACCGUCCCAGUCUUAGC